rnacentral:rRNA from 1 species
AGAGUUUGAUCAUGGCUCAGAUUGAACGCUGGCGGCGUGCUUAACACAUGCAAGUCGAACGAGAAAGGGACUUCGGUCCUGAGUAGAGUGGCGCACGGGUGAGUAACGCGUAGGUAAUCUACCUCUGCAUCUGGGAUAACACUUCGAAAGGGGUGCUAAUACCGGAUACRCUUAUGGAUCGCAAGAUCUAUAAGGAAAGGAGACCUCUCCUUGGAAGUUUCUGUGUAGAGAUGAGCCUGCGUCCCAUUAGCUAGUUGGCAGGGUAAUGGCCUACCAAGGCGACGAUGGGUAGCGGGUCUGAGAGGAUGAUCCGCCACACUGGAACUGAAACACGGACCAGACUCCUACGGGAGGCAGCAGUGAGGAAUAUUGGACAAUGGGCGCAAGCCUGAUCCAGCGACGCCGCGUGAGUGAUGAAGGCCUU